CACAAUAAACAGAACGACUAUUCCAUACUUAAUUCUACUCUCAGCACUAUGGCAGGCAAAUAUUAAGUGUUAAUUACAGUGAAAAUUGCACAUAAAUAUUUCAUUGCUCGCAUCUGCUUUCAAUAAUGGCCACAUGGCUACAUCAGUGUAAUCUUGGAUGUUUUUUAAACAUGUGCUAUCUAUUUGCCAGUAGUAAUCUCACCAAUGCAAUUGAAACAGUAUUUUUCUUGUGCUACAUCAACUUUUCUACUUCAUUUUUAUGUGCAGAUUGCUUCAAAAUAUGGUAGGCAGCUGCCAUCAGUGAAUCAGAAAAGGAGUUAAGUUGCUGGUAAACUUGCGAGCUCCGAGUACAGAGCUACACAGGAACGUUUGGCUCAAAGGU